GACGAACGCUGGCGGUGUGCUUAACACAUGCAAGUCGAACGGUAAGGCCCUUUCGGGGGUACACGAGUGGCGAACGGGUGAGUAACACGUGAGUAACCUGCCCUCAUCUCUGGGAUAACAGUCGGAAACGGUUGCUAAUACUGGAUAUGAGCUUGCAAGGCAUCUUGUGGGUUGGAAAGAUUUUUUGGUUGGGGAUGGACUCGCGGCCUAUCAGCUUGUUGGUGAGGUAGUGGCUCACCAAGGCUUCGACGGGUAGCCGGCCUGAGAGGGCGACCGGCCACAUUGGGACUGAGAUACGGCCCAGACUCCUACGGGAGGCAGCAGUGGGGAAUAUUGCACAAUGGACGGAAGUCUGAUGCAGCAACGCCGCGUGCGGGAUGACGGCCUUCGGGUUGUAAACCGCUUUCAAUUGUGACGAAGCUUUUGG
rnacentral:rRNA from 2 species